GGCCGCCAGUCGCAGCUGACGGUCGCUGUCUCGUUGCGCUUGUGGUUUCGCGUCGCUCGCGUUUGCGAGAUUACGGUCCGGUCGUGUGUGCUAAAGAGCGUGUGCUCGUGUGUGUGUGUUCUGUGAGUCCGCCUAGCGUCGAGCUACUGAAUUUCUUCGUACCACUGACAUUGGUUUUUCCCAAGAACUGGUACGGCGCACUGACGAACGCUCUGCUGUCAGGAGCGCGAGUCGGGAGUGACGCAGUCCCGGCUUGCUGGAACUCUGGAAGAGGAUCUGGUCGUCUCUUCGCUCUCAACG